UCAUCAAAAAUUAAACCGGCUAUCAACAAUUUGACCAGACAGGACACGUGUGUAACUGGAGAAAACUCGUCGAAUGAGUAGAUCAUUUUCACUCGAAAAAUGAGGGUCAAGAAUGGACCUGGAAACUGUUUUACCGGUUUUGAUAUUUUUAUUAACUCAAACGAGUUCAUGUUUGAAAUGUAACAUAAAAUGAAGCCCAGAUAAGGAAUGGCAGCAAUGUUCACCAGGCACCUGAGAAGGAAGUGGCGACCCAAGCGUUUCUGGGAGGAAAAUGGCAGCCACGCCACUGAUGAUGGGCGCUCCCCCGUAGAUCAAACCCGGCAGCCAAGAUGGAAGUGCAAGCCUACCCUUUCUUGUCCAUUUCAUCGACGUCGUCCACCCUCAUGCCAAAAAUGAAGAGAUUGUCCUCGCCCGCCUCCUCAGCCAUCUCCACAUUAGCUCCAUCCAUGGUUCCGAUUGUCAGAGCGCCGUUCAGCAUGAACUUCAUGUUGCCAGUGCCGGAGGCUUCAGUACCCGCCGUGGAGAUCUGCUCCGAGAGGUCAGCAGCCGGGAUGGCUGAGAAAUGACAAAGAUGGUGGUAAGCUGCUACAGUAGCCACAAC